rnacentral:rRNA from 1 species
CCCUUAGAUGUUCUGGGCCGCACGCGCGCUACACUGAUGCAUUCAACGAGUCUAAAACCUGCUCUGAUAGGGGUGGGUAAUCUUUUGAAUGUGCAUCGUGAUUGGGAUAGAUGAUUGCAAUUUUUCAUCUUCAACGAGGAAUGCCUAGUAAACGCAAGUCAUCAGCUUGCAUUGAUUACGUCCCUGCCCUUUGUACACACCGCCCGUCGCUCCUACCGAUUGAAUGAUCCGAUGAAUAUCAUGGAUUGAGGAUGCAAGUAGGUUAGCCUAUCUUCAUCUUCGAGAAGUGAAGUAAGUCUUAUCAUUUAGAGGAAGGAGAAGUCGUAACA